GGGUCCCACCCCACCCAAUCAACUUUGCCUUUACUCUCUUCCCCAUUCACUCUCCCCUCAUUCACGCUCUCCCCUCACGCUCGACAUCUCUCUUUCUCUCUUCCUCUCCAAAUCCAUUUUUCCUCUGCAACCCAAAACAACUCAACAUCACCUUCUUCUUCUCCCAUGGCAACCGCCACCCAAGGCUAUGCCACCACCACGAGAGCCCCCUGUGCUCACGCGAACCGCCGCCGGUCACGCCACCAUCACCGCGUUUUCUUCUUCUUCUUCCCAUGAGAGCCACCAUGAACGAUCCGCCACCACCUUGGCCUCUCCUUCACGCGCACCACCACCGUCCUCCUGCUGGCCCAUCCGCGAGCACCAUCAUCACCAACAUGAGGAGAAACAACAGAGAAAUAGAGGAGAAACCAAACCCUAAUUUCAGCCACCUUCAACCUCCUCUUCUCAAAUCCAAAGUCGAAUCACUGCUAUGAGCUAUGAAGGCCACUGAAGGAUAGGAAGGUUGUUACCAGAGCAGUAGGAGGAUGAAGUUCAGAACCUUAGCCAUGAGGCUUAAGGUAGAAAAGAAAGGAUUAUUGUUUGGGGACUUGUUUAUGUCAUUAGCUACAUGGUUUUUGUCAAUUGUUGGUCUGGGGUCAAAAUGUUUUCUGUUUUGGGAAAUAAAAAUUAGAAUCCAAUUUUAGAAAAUGUAUCAAGUGCUGCUGUAACUGUUAUUAAUUCUGUCCUUUAGCCUUCUUGUGAUAAAUGAAACUACAGUACAAUAGCUAGGUUGUUAGAAUGGAAAACUUGGCAGAUUUCGAACUCUUGAACUCGUUCUUAAGCUGUGUUAACAAAUGAAUUUGAAGAAGUUGUCUUCAUAAGAA